GUGUUUACUUGCGCUCGUUACCGAUCUCUAGAUGCUGUGUAUGUGUGAGCCGGAUGUGGGGACCAUGAAUCCUCACUAAACCGCGUGUUGUGACAAAGGAUGACUGGCUUUGGUGGUGUUUAGAAGUCUUGUACUACACAGCAUGAAUGAACGGAUGUGUUAGCGAUAACGUGCACAUUCUUCAGUCAAACUUCCGCCUGCUAAGUGGUUGAAAUAAGUUCUCCACAGUUAGCUUUACUGCAAGAUGUCAAGAAGAUGGCAGUUGUUUAUGCUCUCGCUGCACCACUGACAUAGUAAAGUCAGGUAUUUCAAAAUAUUGAACCAUCAAUUUAUCUCACUUCUUCAGUGGAUUUUUCAAAGAAAGUAGACAUCAGCUAUCUGCUCACACCUCUCGAUGGAAAUUGUUCAUGACAUCAGUCUCGUCGUUCCUGUGUCUAACCUUCACUAAGUCAUGAACGAAGUUUACAGAAUCUGCUUCUUGCUUGUGACUUUAUUGGAUGUUUUUUGUCAGCCUUGUGUUCCUAAUUGUGUCAAAAUGGAUAUUGUUGAUAAUCCAUCCAAGGACGAUGUUAUCAAGUUGAAGAGAACGUUGCCGUCAAUUUGACAUUUUAUGUCGACACCAAGGCUUGUAUAGACAAUACACAACAGUGGGUCUUGAAACUGUUCGACAUUUGAAAAGGAAUGACUGUCGACAAAUGCAAGAUUCCUUUUAUUAACGGGAGGUGUCAAACAACGGCGCAAAAAAAAUGUGUUCCUGCUUUAAUAGUAAUAUGCUCCUUGUCCAGAUCCAGGAAAACUUUAAUGGAUCGUAUUAUCAAGUAUACUCCUGGACAGGGAUAACAAACGAUGCAUCGACUCAUGUAAAGCUUUUGAAAAGAAUCUUUGUUGUCCUCAAAUUCAAUACAAACGGAAACCAAAGGAAAGCACCAAGAGACAACCCUUGUGUACAAAAUUUAUGUCCUAGUCUUCCAGUCGUCAUAGCGGUCUGUGCAAGUGCUGCCAUUGUUGUCCGUUAUCGCAAUUAUCUUCAUCGUUAAAACCUGUAAAACAAAAAGCAAAUCACCCAAAUGAACUGCUACCGUCAGAAGCAAGGAGAGAUGUGCGCACACCUUGACCAUGACGUCAAUGUUUAAUUUAUCUGUCACACAGACAAACCGAUGAUCAUGAUAAUGAUAAUGAUAAUGAGGAGGAGGGGGAGGAGGAGGAGGAUGUGUACCGUAAGAGUGCAGAGAAGAUUUUGACAUAAUCUUUGAAUAUAUUUCCGAUGCAUGAGCAAAUGAAAACACUUUGGUAAAAAU